ensembl:lncRNA
CAGGGAUUAAACACUGCGCUCUCUUCUCUCCUUUAGUGGUCAGAGGUCGAAGGUGAUGACCUUAACCCUACAGACCAGUCCCAAGAUCUUGAUGAGCAUGUCGAACAGCAAGUCAGUUGUCAGCAGCGGUGGUCAAUGCCCCUGACCACAGCACGGGAGGGGAUUUGCCCAGGACACCAUCACUAUCCAGUUCCUCCUCCUGGUUUUCCAUCGGUAGCGAUGUAAUGGAACCAGCAUCCACCAGCAGCAGUGGCUCAUUCGUCUUUGAGAAUGAUCAUGUACCCGAUGGUGACUACAGAUGGACCCCAACACCCUCCCCCUCCCUCUCAUCGGAGGAGGAAGAUGAUGACAACCCAAGAGGACAUCCCAUCGUCCCUGAGAAUGGGGAUGGAGUCGAUUGGAAUAGACCCC